rnacentral:rRNA from 1 species
AGAAUCAACGCUGGCGGCGUGCCUCAGACAUGCAAGUCGAACGCGAAAGUUUCCUUCGGGGAGCGAGUAGAGUGGCGCACGGGUGAGUAACACGUAGGUAAUCUACCUUUGGAUGGGGAAUAACAACCGGAAACGGUUGCUAAUACCGCAUGAUGCAGCGGCACCUAAUGGUGACAGUUGUUAAAGCGGGGGAUCGAAAGACCUCGCGUCUGAAGAGGAGCCUGCGGCGGAUUAGCUAGUUGGUAGGUAACGCCUACCGAAGGCAACGAUCCGUA